GCUCAGGACGAACGCUGGCGGCGUGCUUAACACAUGCAAGUCGAACGAUGAACCACUUCGGUGGGGAUUAGUGGCGAACGGGUGAGUAACACGUGGGCAAUCUGCCCUGCACUCUGGGACAAGCCCUGGAAACGGGGUCUAAUACCGGAUACUGAUUGUCUUGGGCAUCCUUGAUGAUCGAAAGCUCCGGCGGUGCAGGAUGAGCCCGCGGCCUAUCAGCUUGUUGGUGAGGUAACGGCUCACCAAGGCGACGACGGGUAGCCGGCCUGAGAGGGCGACCGGCCACACUGGGACUGAGACACGGCCCAGACUCCUACGGGAGGCAGCAGUGGGGAAUAUUGCACAAUGGGCGCAAGCCUGAUGCAGCGACGCCGCGUGAGGGAUGACGGCCUUCGGGUUGUAAACCUCUUUCAGCAGGGAAGAAGCGAAAGUGACGGUACCUGCAGAAGAAGCGCCGGCUAACUACGUGCCAGCAGCCGCGGUAAUACGUAGGGCGCAAGCGUUGUCCGGAAUUAUUGGGCGUAAAGAGCUCGUAGGCGGCUUGUCGCGUCGGAUGUGAAAGCCCGGGGCUUAACCCCGGGUCUGCAUUCGAUACGGGCAGGCUAGAGUUCGGUAGGGGAGAUCGGAAUUCCUGGUGUAGCGGUGAAAUGCGCAGAUAUCAGGAGGAACACCGGUGGCGAAGGCGGAUCUCUGGGCCGAUACUGACGCUGAGGAGCGAAAGCGUGGGGAGCGAACAGGAUUAGAUACCCUGGUAGUCCACGCCGUAAACGGUGGGCACUA
rnacentral:rRNA from 1 species